GCAGAAUUUUGCCAUGUGGUUCAGGCCCACUGCCGAUAUGAGUCUAACUAGGGACGAGUGCCUUCUUGGGAUGUAUAUAUUUGCCAAAAAUGAAGAAAUGAGGGAAACGAAGAACUUAUUUAAGCAUUACGAGCUAACCCUGCCUCGCGGGUCGUCAACACUGUUGCAAUGCUUUCCUCUCUUCAAGCCAAGGCAAACCUUGUACCCCGUUGCUGGUUCUUCCUGUCAACAUUUGCCGCCGAGAUCUUGUUCCAAACUCCGAUGGAACAUGUAAUAGAGAGCUAUGCGAGAUGCUGGAUGCCACCAACUUAAGAACUUGAGCAUGUCUUUGUACCCAUUUGCGAGCCACCUGAGACUUGGUACAUGCUAUUGUUGGAUGUAAAGAGACCUUCUGUUUAUGCUCUUGAUGUUUGCACAAGCAUAGAGUCUGUUCCCAGGCGUGAGCGCAACAUGCGCCUUAUAAUGGCUGUCCUCGGGAACAUUUUCAAACUUGAGCCGAAUCUGCCCAACAUUAAACACGUUUCGCCAGAUCCAAACACCUGGGGACGCAUUGAAUACCCCAUGAGCUUUCCUAGCAGGCUAGGCGCAGAUGAAUAUGGAAUAUAGUGCAUCUGGUGGAUGUCUCACAAUGGCUGAUUCUCCCCAGCUAUCCUAGGAAACCUGGGUGAUAAGGCCAUAUUGAGGAUGAAAACAGCAACCAGAAUUGUCGCAUCUGACUACAGUGAUCUUAAGGCUCUUGUGGACCUCAAGGCAGAGACGGUGUGGCGUAGUCUCCCGUUCCUUCCCUAAUUACUACUCUAUUUACAUGCUUAUAUAUGAAUGAAGUUGGGAACCAUUUACAAGGCCCAAAUAUUUUGAAAUUACUUGUUGCUGUUAAAUAUUGCUAAUUCCAGACUUUAGUAUUUUUACUCUACUUGUAUUAUCUCGGUGGUCGACAUUGUAUAUGCACCCACCUGGGUUGCAAAUGGUUUGACUAUGUACGCACCUGUUAUAGUUAACUUGCAUGAUGACUUGUUGAAGAAUGUAAGUGGGAACUGUUAACAAGGUCCAUAUAUUUUGAAGUUAGUUGUUGCUGUUGUA